rnacentral:rRNA from 1 species
CGUAGGUCCCGAGCGUUGUCCGGAAUUACUGGGUGUAAAGGGUGCGCAGGCGGCCAUGUGCGUCAGAAGUGAAAUAUCACGGCUUAACCGUGAGGGUGCUUUUGAAACGGCGUGGCUUGAGUACGGGAGAGGAUGAUGGAAUUCCUGGUGUAGCAGUGAAAUGCGUAGAUAUCAGGAGGAACACCGGUGGCGAAGGCGGUCAUCUGGCCCGGUACUGACGCUCAGGCACGAAAGUGUGGGUAGCAAACAGGAUU